UACAGAGGGUGCGAGCGUUGUCCGGAAUCACUGGGCGUAAAGGGCGCGUAGGUGGCGGCCCAAGUCCAUGGUGAAAGCUCGAUGCUCAACAUCGAGUCGGCCACGGAUACUGGGUUGCUCGAGCACUGUAGGGGCAGAUGGAAUUCCGGGUGUAGCGGUGGAAUGCGUAGAGAUCCGGAAGAACACCAGUGGCGAAGGCGACACACUGGCCCGUUACUGACGCUGAGGCUCGAAAGCGUGGGGAGCAAACAGG
rnacentral:rRNA from 1 species